GGAUGACAUGUCUGUCCAGAACAGAACUACAAAGAUCCAGAUGAAAGAGGACAUUGCUGCUUAUAGUUAGAAAGGCCCAAAUAAGAUACGGGGAAUAUGAGCUCUCAAAGCUGUGAUGGAUUUAGAUAAAGAGGCAAAUUCAUUAUGCAGUGAAAAUAGGUGUGUCUAUGUGGAUUCUGGAGUUUUUGUUUGUUUUUGUUUUGUUCUUUUGUUUUUGAAGUAUAGAACCAGUGGGCAAUUUUCCUGGGAGAAAACAGAAGAAAAGAGAUGGAGUGUUAAAAUAUCCAACACCAUUCCCAUUUCACAACUGCAAGUACAGGGAACAGUUACUUGUGUUAUAUGCCUUGUUACCAUCAAGUAGGAGCAAGCUGAGCAAGCUGUCAUAGGUGUAAAAUGCUCCACCUUCUGUCUUUAACAAAUGUAAUUUAAUUACAAGAGAGACUGUCUCCGCUGGAGUGCGAAGCCAAGCCCCUUUUGAAAACCACUGAGGAAACAGGAUCCAAAAUUGAUGAAGAAAACACACUAGGGGUAAUUACAAGAAGCAAUACCUGCACUGGAAACGUUCUGCGUGACUCUAUCAUUUCAAGCUGCAGAACAUGGAAGUGCUAAAGUGUUCCUGAGGAUAUCAGGAGAAAUAAAAAGUUCCUUAUCUCCC
ensembl:lncRNA